rnacentral:rRNA from 1 species
AAUUCGAUUGAGUUUGAUCAUGGCUCAGAUUGAACGCUGGCGGCAUGCCUAACACAUGCAAGUUGAACGGCAGCACAGCUUAAGCUUGCUUAAGUGGGUGGCGAGUGGCGGACGGGUGAGUAAUGCAUCGGGACCUACCUGAACGUGGGGGAUAACGUAGGGAAACUUACGCUAAUACCGCAUACGUCCUACGGGAGAAAGCGGGGGACCUUCGGGCCUCGCGCGGUCAGACGGACCGAUGUUCGAUUAGCUAGUUGGUAAGGUAAUGGCUUACCAAGGCGACGAUCGAUAGCUGGUCUGAGAGGAUGAUCAG